GGAGGGGUACCGAAGUGGUCAAACGGGGCAGACUGUAAAUCUGUUGGCACUGCCUUCGAUGGUUCGAUCCCAUCCCCCUCCACCA
rnacentral:tRNA from 1 species